rnacentral:rRNA from 1 species
AUAAACGCUGGCGGCGCACAUAAGACAUGCAAGUCGAACGGAAGUCGUUUUAGUGAGUUUGAGAUGAAAGAUUUAUCCGGAUUCAAAGAUGAACUAAAACAAUGGCUUUAGUGGCGGACUGGUGAGUAACACGUAAGCAACCUGCCUGUUAGAGGGGAAUAACAGCGAGAAAUCGUUGCUAAUACCGCAUAUGCCAUAAGAACCGCAUGGUUCAAGUGGGAAAGGAGCAAUCCGCUAACAGAUGGGCUUGCGUCUGAUUAGUUAGUUGGUGGGGUAACGGCCUACCAAGACCGCGAUCAGUAGCCGGACUGAGAGGUUGAACGGCCACAUUGGGACUGAGACACGGCCCAGACUCCUACGGGAGGCAGCAGUGGGGAAUAUUGCACAAUGGGGGAAACCCUGAUGCAGCGACGCCGCGUGAAGGAUGAAGGUCUUCGGAUCGUAAACUUUUGUCUUCAGGGACGAUAAUGACGGUACCUGAGGAGGAAGCCACGGCUAACUACGUG